rnacentral:rRNA from 1 species
GGAUAACUUCGGGAAACCGGAGCUAAUACCGGAUAAUAUUUUGAACCGCAUGGUUCAAAAGUGAAAGACGGUCUUGCUGUCACUUAUAGAUGGAUCCGCGCUGCAUUAGCUAGUUGGUAAGGUAACGGCUUACCAAGGCAACGAUGCGUAGCCGACCUGAGAGGGUGAUCGGCCACACUGGAACUGAGACACGGUCCAG